GAAGGAUUAUAUACCUCAUUUCAAAGGUUUUGAAAUGAUCCGGGCUUUGAUUCAAGAUGCACAAAGUCACCUAAGAAUAUGAAAAGCUGGAAGAUUCUCACAAUUCCGUAUAGUGAAUCACUCUUUCCCUUAGACUCUACCUUGGAAACUCCAUGACGGUAGAUAACACCUUUGUCAAACUUAUAUAUCUGUUUUAUACAUUGAUAUUGUUGCUUGGUAUUAGUCGAGAGGCAGCACAGCAAAGUGUAUGUGAAGAGAAAGGGGAUAAAAAGGCACUCUGGAUGUGAUGAUUUCAAAACAACUAUCAGUUGUGCCUAAGGUUGCAGACUCAGAACUUUAUCAUUAAGCAGAAAAAGCAUCGUGAAGAGAGGGUCAUUCUUCCUUAUCAUCACUAGCAACAGCUGCUGACCAAGUACCACCAACAGAUAGGCACUGGAGCGGUGGUAAUAUCCAUCCCCCCCCCCCCAUCAUUCUUGCUUUCAGUCCAGCCCCCAAAGCAACCAUGUAAGAAAGCAGCUUAUUGAUAAGGGGCCAGGCAUCCCCACCAACUGUCACGAACAGGGCAGGGACUGUAAACCAUCCUAACUGAAGCAGCAAGGCACCCUGAAGGAGAAAAAUAAGGCAGCCUGUACCCAGGCAAGUCAAAAUGCUACCUUGAUUGUCAUUUAUCCUCAAAACCUGAUGGAAAUAUCCCAGGGCUCUGAAUCCAAAAGCCCAGAUCCCUCAGCUGUCACCCAGGAAGGAAACCCUGAAGAUGCCACUGAGACUGCUCCUGCUGGGGCUAUAAGACACAACAACUGAAGAUCUAGAAAGGAAAAAUCUUGUCAUCAAAGUCCUUGGUACUGUCAAAUGGUUCAACCUCAAGAAACGGAUGUGAUUUUAUCACCGAAAAUCCCAUUAAAGGAAAGACACUUGCUGGACACCUUAUACAUAGAAGCUCUUGAGCUAGAUGCUAGGAAUAAUCCAGAGACUGAUUUCCCUGUGGAAGAUGUCAUGGAGAUGCCCUUGGAGACUGCACACUGCUCCAGGAGUUACUGAGCAAAACUGAAUGUGCUAAACUGAACUUUGGGGGGGUUCAAUACAUUUGUUUAUAUGUACUUUGUUGUACCAAAGGGGACUGCCCCCUAAUUAGUUUUGUUCUUGAUUCCCUUUUGUUUCCUUAGCCCCAAGCUGAUGUAUUUUCCCUGUGUAAAUUUGUAUGUACCUCAAUUAUGUUUAAAAUGAUCCAUUGGGGAAACUGGUCUCCCAAAGGAUCACAGGGAAAAAUGUGAAGAUGGAAAAUUUUCAACACCUGAGCUAUAUUCCCAACAUCCUUUUAAGUUACAUCCUCAUUUUAUGUAAGAAUGCUUAGGAGAUAAAUUUGGCUGAGACUUAUGCUGCGGGGCUCUUUUUUUGGAGCUUGUGCUUUUGAGAAAGUGCUGCAGGUGUGAGUCUCUGUCUCUCUUUGCUCUGCUCACUUGACUGAAAGAACCUUUUUUAUUUUCCCUCUCUUUUGAUUAUUAUUAAAAAUCCUACAAUGCUAAUAAACAUCUGCUUUUGAGUUCCCUUUGGAUCUAU
ensembl:lncRNA